rnacentral:rRNA from 1 species
AUUGAACGCUGGCGGCAUGCCUUACACAUGCAAGUCGAACGGCAGCACGGGGCAACCUGGUGGCGAGUGGCGAACGGGUGAGUAAUGCAUCGGAACGUACCUUUCAGUGGGGGAUAACGUAGCGAAAGUUACGCUAAUACCGCAUAUUCUGUGAGCAGGAAAGCAGGGGAUCGCAAGACCUUGCGCUGAUUGAGCGGCCGAUAUCAGAUUAGCUAGUUGGUGAGGUAAAGGCUCACCAAGGCGACGAUCUGUAGCGGGUCUGAGAGGAUGAUCCGCCACACUGGAACUGAGACACGGUCCAGACUCCUACGGGAGGCAGCAGUGGGGAAUUUUGGACAAUGGGGGCAACCCUGAUUCAGCCAUGCCGCGUGAGUGAAGAAGGCCUUCGGGUUGUAAAGCUCUUUCGGCCGGGAAGAAAUCGCACGGGCUAAUACCCUGUGUGGAUGACGGUACCGGAAUAAGAAGCACCGGCUAACUACGUGCCAGCAGCCGCGGUAACAC